rnacentral:lncRNA from 1 species
UUUCCCCAGAUGGGGUUCUUUUGAAACAUUUUGCACGAUGGGGUUGUUCUUUACGUGGCAUGCAUGCAAGCAGCACCCAAACCGCCAGUACCACUGGCGAGUUUGGUCAUUCUGAAGGAAUCGCUCCUUGCAACAGCGAUAUGGCCAUGCAUAGGGAACUGCCAGUUUGACUGGCGAGUUCCUAAGGCUGACAGCUAGGUAGUAGGCGCGCAGGCAGGAGGCAGGAGGGCAGGGUGCAGCAGUGCAGCAGUGGUGCAGGACGGAGGUGCAGCAGCGUACCAGAAUCGCCAGUACGAUUGGCGAAUUCAUUUGCAAAGGAACCGCCAGCCUGGCUGGCGGUUUGCAUUGUUUAAAAAAUUUUCCCCCUUCCCUUAUAAAAAGAAGAAGCUCCCGAGUGCACAGGCAAGCCUUCUUGCACUUCGUUAUUCUUCCAAGUUCUCCCAGGUUUGUUCCUGCGUUUUGUUUUUGUAAGUAUUAUUGAAUAAUAAAUAUUUAUUGUGUUAUAUAAAUAUAUAUGUUAACUUAAUUUUAAUUGAUAUGUUUGUUUAUUUUUGUAGGACAGUAACUCUUUCUUCUCCUAAGUGGUUUCUCUUGUGUUGCUAUU